GACGAACGCUGGCGGCGUGCCUAAUACAUGCAAGUCGAGCGAAGCGGCGGAUGGGUGAGUAACGCGUGGGUAACCUGCCCUUAAGUCUGGGAUACCAUUUGGAAACAGAUGCUAAUACCGGAUACUAAAGGAUGGACCUGCGAUGCAUUAGCUAGUUGGUAAGGUAACGGCUUACCAAGGCGAUGAUGCAUAGCCGAGUGAGAGGACUGAUCGGCAACAUGGGGACGGAGAAAGGGCCCAAACGCCUACGGGAGGCAGCAGUAGGAAAUCUUCCACAUUGGACGAAAGUCUGAUGGGGCAACGCCGGGUGAGUGAAGAAGGUUUUCGGAUCGUAAAGCUCUGUUGUUGGUGAAGCGGUAAUCAACCAGAAAGUCACGGCUAACUACGGGCCAGCGCCGCGGUAAUUC
rnacentral:rRNA from 1 species